ACUAUGUUUCAUCACCGGCUGUGUAGUUUGGCUUCAACAGUGUGCUCUACUUUCUGGUUCAGCUCACCACCCCGGCUGUGUAGUUUGACCUUCACAAACUUGCUCAGCGUGCCUGGACUUACUUAGAAUUUGGAACCUCUGCCUGUUGGUCAAGUUUGAUCCGACUCUGCCCCCUGCUCUGAUGACGGCACCAUGCCUUGACGACGGCACACCAGUUGAGUCUUCCUCCAGCAAGGUCUUUCCCAAAUGCCUAGAGCAUGGCCGACCCUCUGGACCUGCUCCUGGGUGUUCUAGAUGACCUGCGCUCAGCAGAACUGAGAAGGUUCCGCUUGUACCUGAGCAGCGCCCAGCUGGACGGCUAUCCCAGAGUACCCCAGGGCCGCCUGGAGAGCGAUGACCCAACAGACAUCACCUGCAAGAUGAGGGAGGCCUACGGCAUUGCCAACUCCCUCAAGGUCGCGAAGGUCAUCAUGAGGAGGAUCCACCGCAGUGACCUGGCAGAGAGGCUGGGGCAGAAUCUAGAUGGUGCCAGCACCUCAGCCCAGUUCAGCCCAGCCCAGCGCAGGUUCACGGAUGUGCGGCAAUAUGCCUGUGACCUCACGCUGGACCCAAACACGGCCUCCAGCUCUCUCCUCCUGUCCGAGGGGAACAGACGAGUGGAGAACUUUAAGGGGAGGAGCAACUUCUCCUACCCGCCACACCCCGAUCGCUUCGAGAGCUGCUGCGCCCAGGUGCUGUGCUGUGAGGCGCUAACUGGACGCCACUACUGGGAGGUCACCUACAAUGAUGAGAGUGUGCUCAUCGGAGUGGCCUACAGAAGUAUUGACAGAACAGCUUGCUGUCCCAAACACGUGGUGGGCCAAAACGACAAGUCCUGGAGCAUCUGGUGCAGUGCCGGCGGUCAGUUCAUAGCCAAACAUAACAAUAUUUACACAGACAUAGACACUGAGCCGUCUCCGUCGCGCAGAAUUGGAGUGUAUCUGGACUGGCCGUCCGGAGUCCUGUCCUUCUACCGUGUCUCCUCCGACACACUCACACACCUGCACACGUACCGGGCCACAUUCACUGAGCCCCUUUACCCUGGCUUCUGUGUGUACUGCGCUGGUAGUGUGCUGUCUAUAUGUCAGGUUUGAUGAGUAUGCAGUGGUAGUGUGCUGUCUUUAUGUCAGGUUGUCUGAUGAAGUGGUAGUGUGCUGUCUUUAUGUCAGGUUGGCUGAUGCGGCGGUAGUGUUCUGUCAUUAUGUCAGGUUAGCUGAAUACUGCAGUGGUAGUGUGCUGUCAUUAUGUCAGGUUGGCUGAGUAUGCAGUGAUAGUGUGCUGUCAUUAUGUCAGGUUGGCUGAGUAUGCAGUGAUAGUGUGCUGUCAUUAUGUCAGGUUUGCUGAGUACUGCAGUGGUAGUGUGCUGUCAUUAUGUCAGGUUAGCUGAGUACUGCAGUGGUAGUGUGCUGUCAUUAUGUCAGGUUGGCUGAGUAUGCAGUGAUAGUGUGCUGUCAUUAUGUCAGGUUGGCUGAGUAUGCAGUGAUAGUGUGCUGUCAUUAUGUCAGGUUAGCUGAGUACUGCAGUGGUAGUGUGCUGUCAUUAUGUCAGGUUGGCUGAGUAUGCAGUGAUAGUGUGCUGUCAUUAUGUCAGGUUGGCUGAGUGAGUAUGCUGUACUAUCAGUUAAAGUAGGCUGUGCCUCUAUGUCAGUAAGCACAAGAUUCCUGAUUAUCGAUGGAUUUUAAAAAGUAAAUCACAUUUGACUUUUGUUAUUUGGGACAUGGUUAAUGUUUUUAAUCAGUGAUCAUAUGGGAGCAGAUCAGCAUAUGGUUUCUUCUAAUACACGUUCUUAUGAGUGAGUUUCUGGGGUUGUGUGUAGGGUGUGACUGCGGUUAUUGAUGAAUACACUGUUAGGGUCCUUGUGUUUUGGUAUUUACAAACAUAUCCAUCCAAUACACAAGGCUUUUAAAUAGGCAUUUAAAUGAGCCUGCUUGUGCAGACAUGUCUUUUAAAAGAUAAAUUCUGAAAUGCCGUUUUGUAUAUCUGUAACUUGCAUUGUCCAUUAAAAUGAAAUUUCUAUGCA